UUGAACGCUGGCGGCAUGCUUUACACAUGCAAGUCGAACGGUAACAGGCCUUCGGGUGCUGACGAGUGGCGAACGGGUGAGUAAUGCAUCGGAACGUACCCAGAGGUGGGGGAUAACGCAGCGAAAGCUGUGCUAAUACCGCAUGUGAUCUGAGGAUGAAAGCGGGGGACCGAGCAGCAAUGUUUGGCCUCGCGCCUUUGGAGCGGCCGAUGUCGGAUUAGCUAGUUGGUGGGGUAAAGGCCUACCAAGGCGACGAUCCGUAGCUGGUCUGAGAGGGCGACCAGCCACACUGGGACUGAGACACGGCCCAGACUCCUACGGGAGGCAGCAGUGGGGAAUUUUGGACAAUGGGCGCAAGCCUGAUCCAGCAAUGCCGCGUGCGGGAAGAAGGCCCUCGGGUUGUAAACCGCUUUUGGCAGGAACGAAACGGUGUCCGCUAAUACCGGGCGCUAAUGACGGUACCUGCAGAAUAAGCACCGGCUAACUACGUG
rnacentral:rRNA from 1 species